UGGGGAAUAUUGGACAAUGGGCGCAAGCCUGAUCCAGCCAUGCCGCGUGAGUGAUGAAGGCCCUAGGGUUGUAAAGCUCUUUCACCGGUGAAGAUAAUGACGGUAACCGGAGAAGAAGCCCCGGCUAACUUCGUGCCAGCAGCCGCGGUAAUACGAAGGGGGCUAGCGUUGUUCGGAUUUACUGGGCGUAAAGCGCACGUAGGCGGACUUUUAAGUCAGGGGUGAAAUCCCGGGGCUCAACCCCGGAACUGCCUUUGAUACUGGAAGUCUUGAGUAUGGUAGAAGUGAGUGGAAUUCCGAGUGGAGAGGUGGAAUUCGUAGAUAUUCGGAGGAACACCAGUGGCGAAGGCGGCUCACUGGGCCAUUACUGACGCUGAGGUGCGAAAGCGUGGGGAGCAAACAGG
rnacentral:rRNA from 1 species